rnacentral:rRNA from 1 species
AAAUUGAAGAGUUUGAUCAUGGCUCAGAUUGAACGCUGGCGGCAGGCCUAACACAUGCAAGUCGAGCGGAAACGAGUUAUCUGAACCUUCGGGGAACGAUAACGGCGUCGAGCGGCGGACGGGUGAGUAAUGCCUAGGAAAUUGCCCUGAUGUGGGGGAUAACCAUUGGAAACGAUGGCUAAUACCGCAUGAUGCCUACGGGCCAAAGAGGGGGACCUUCGGGCCUCUCGCGUCAGGAUAUGCCUAGGUGGGAUUAGCUAGUUGGUGAGGUAAGGGCUCACCAAGGCGACGAUCCCUAGCUGGUCUGAGAGGAUGAUCAGCCACACUGGAACUGAGACACGGUCCAGACUCCUACGGGAGGCAGCAGUGGGGAAUAUUGCACAAUGGGCGCAAGCCUGAUGCAGCCAUGCCGCGUGUGUGAAGAAGGCCUUCGGGUUGUAAAGCACUUUCAGUCGUGAGGAAGGUGGUGUAGUUAAUAGCUGCAUUAUUUGACGUUAGCGACAGAAGAAGCACCGGCUAACUCCGUGCCAGCAGCCGCGGUAAUACGGAGGGUGCGAGCGUUAAUCGGAAUUACUGGGCGUAAAGCGCAUGCAGGUGGUUUGUUAAGUCAGAUGUGAAAGCCCGGGGCUCAACCUCGGAAUAGCAUUUGAAACUGGCAGACUAGAGUACUGUAGAGGGGGGUAGAAUUUCAGGUGUAGCGGUGAAAUGCGUAGAGAUCUGAAGGAAUACCGGUGGCGAAGGCGGCCCCCUGGACAGAUACUGACACUCAGAUGCGAAAGCGUGGGG